GGUUAAGCGACUAAGCGUACACGGUGGAUGCCCUGGCAGUCAGAGGCGAUGAAGGGCGUGCUAAUCUGCGAUAAGCGCCGGUAAGGUGAUAUGAACCGUUAUAACCGGCGAUACCCGAAUGGGGAAACCCAGUGUGACUCGUCACACUAUCAUUAACUGAAUCCAUAGGUUAAUGAGGCGAACCGGGGGAACUGAAACAUCUAAGUACCCCGAGGAAAAGAAAUCAACCGAGAUUCCCCCAGUAGCGGCGAGCGAACGGGGAGGAGCCCAGAGCCUGAAUCAGCAUGUGUGUUAGUGGAAGCGUCUGGAAAGGCGCGCGAUACAGGGUGACAGCCCCGUACACAAAAGCGCAUAUGCUGUGAGCUCGAUGAGUAGGGCGGGACACGUGGUAUCCUGUCUGAAUAUGGGGGGACCAUCCUCCAAGGCUAAAUACUCCUGACUGACCGAUAGUGAACCAGUACCGUGAGGGAAAGGCGAAAAGAACCCCGGCGAGGGGAGUGAAAAAGAACCUGAAACCGUGUACGUACAAGCAGUGGGAGCACCCUUUUGGGUGUGACUGCGUACCUUUUGUAUAAUGGGUCAGCGACUUAUAUUCUGUAGCAAGGUUAACCG
rnacentral:rRNA from 1 species